UUAAAACAAUAAAAUUGUUUUUAGUUUUUUAUAUCUAGUAGUACAUUCAUGGAAUAUUUCAAUAAGAAAAUAAUGGUUUAUUGUACCUUUUGUAGAAUGGUUUUACUAGAAGAUGUAUAUUUAUAUUUUCCCGAGAAAAGAAGAGCUAAACAUGAACUUAUUUUAGAAAGAAAUGGUUAUGUAGCAGUAUGGCGCGGAAGAUUCGUGUUUAGGGGUGAAAGGCUUUCAAUUCUUUUGAUAUCUGGAUAUUUCUGAAAGGCAUUUAGUGCCGCCACAUAGGUUAAAUACAAAGUGUUGAGAUUUUAUAUAAAUAGAAUUUUUAGGUGUUCAUGAUUUAUUUUAGGGUUAACCUCCUUGAAAGCUUCACAAACAAUAAUAAAUCUUUUUAAAAAUCUAGGAAGUAAGAAAUUAAUUAAGGCAAUUUUAACUUAAAAAGUAAAUGUAAAAAUGAGUAAUAUUAUAAGAUUUUUAAGAAAAAAAAGUGAAUUUCGGAUCUUAAAAUUAAAAAUUUAAAUAAAGUUAAGGAACUCGGCAAAAAUAAAGCUUCGACUAGUUUACCAAAAACAUAGCUUGAAGAAAAUAUUUUAGGUGAAAUCUGCUCAAUGUAACUAUUUAAUAAAUAGCCGCGGUACUUUGACCGUGCUAAGGUAGCAUAAUAAGUCGGCUUUUAAAUGGGGUCGAGUAUGAAUGAAAAAACGUAGCUUAGCUGUCUCAAAAUUACUUUAUUGAAGUUACUGUAUAGAUGAAAAAGUCUAUUGAAAAAUAAAAGACGAGAAGACCCUUAGAAUUUAAAUGAAACUGAAAAUAUUUUCAGUAUAUUUUUGUUGGGGCGACAUAGAAACAGGAAGAUAACUUUCUGAAAAUGACAUGACGAUUUUUUUAAGGUUGAAUAAAUUACCUGAGGGAUAACAGCAUAAUUAUAAAAAUUAGUUUGUGACCUCGAUGUUGGACUAGGGAAUUGGUAGAUUAGCCGUUUACCAAAUUGGUUCUGUUCGAACUGCUUUUCCUACAUGAUCUGAGUUCAGACCGGCAAAGCCAGGUCAGAUUCUAUCUUUUUAUUUUAUACCUUUAGUACGAAAGGACCAGGGUAUAUGUAUAUCAAAAUACAAAGCAAAUU
rnacentral:rRNA from 1 species